UUGAACGCUGGCGGCAGGCCUAACACAUGCAAGUCGAAUGGUAACAGGAAACAGCUUGCUGUUUCGCUGACGAGUGGCGGACGGGUGAGUAAUGUCUGGGAAACUGCCUGAUGGAGGGGGAUAACUACUGGAAACGGUAGCUAAUACCGCAUAACGUCGCAAGACCAAAGAGGGGGACCUUCGGGCCUCUUGCCAUCAGAUGUGCCCAGAUGGGAUUAGCUAGUAGGUGGGGUAACGGCUCACCUAGGCGACGAUCCCUAGCUGGUCUGAGAGGAUGACCAGCCACACUGGAACUGAGACACGGUCCAGACUCCUACGGGAGGCAGCAGUGGGGAAUAUUGCACAAUGGGCGCAAGCCUGAUGCAGCCAUGCCGCGUGUAUGAAGAAGGCCUUCGGGUUGUAAAGUACUUUCAGCGGGGAGGAAGGGAGUAAAGUUAAUACCUUUGCUCAUUGACGCUGCCCGCAGAAGAAGCACCGGCUAACUCCGUG
rnacentral:rRNA from 1 species